GGGUCAGCUUCCUUCUGCCUUGCUCUGGUAUCUCCACGAAGUCCAUUCUCUCUAUCAAGUAGAUGCCUAAGUCUUGACAACAUGUCUAUAGAAAAACUGUAUAGACAUUGAACGAAUAUCCUAAAGGCACUUGGUGUUGCUACAACACUAUUGACCUCACAGGGGAUUCCAAGAGCUCUGCUCUCCAGGAUACAAUAGAAUUUCCAGAGAAGGGACUCCUGAUGUCACAAGGAACAGCUUUUGCCUCCUGGCUAACAAAUUCUCCCUGAACUGAACAGAAGCUGAGAUUCCUUUUCCAGGAGUCUCUCCUGUGAUACAGCCAUCAUAGGAGCAGCUUCCUCCUGCAGCAGAUGGGAACAAAUACAGAGACCCUCAUCUAGACAAUAUGCAGAGAGGAAGAGAACUUGAACACUCAACACGGUGAAAGUAGAGAACUAAUGGCUGCAACUUGUCCAUUGACCCACAACCAUGCUCUGGCACAUUUGUGCAAACACAUAUAUAAAUAUACAGAUGAAUAAGUGUAUUAAAGUUUUGAGAACAGAAUUCCAUACCGGGCAACUCUCAACCUAGUCUUGUCAAGUGACACAGACAUUUCUGGGGAAAUGAUGAAGAAAAACCAUGUUUCUGUCGAGAUUUCUAAACAAAUGUUGGAUGAAAGAACAUGAGGCUGCCAGAAUGAUGCUGUGGUGGGGGAACCACAAAGGCUUUGGAUGUUCUGGAAGGUUUGUUUCACAUAGAGCAAGGAUAAAGACUUGAUUCUGUGCGUGACAAUGAAUUCACGUGCGCGCGCGCGCGCACACACACACACACACACACACACACACAUCUCUGAUGUUUUCUAAAUGGAUAGAGACCCUCAGUGAGGAAACAUUGACAAUGUUGUGACACUAGAGGGGAGACAAUGUCUUCCUCCUUCCUUCCCUGCUGUCUCUGUCACAUUCCACUACCAUUUAGUACUACUGCAUUCUAUUUAUAUUAUUGUUAGCUGUUAACAAUCUCUUUUUCUUCCCUUAAUAGUUUCAUUCAGCUGACAAUUAUGGGAGGUUAUAAGUGUCAGCAGACACAAAGGAUAACACUGAAGGGAACAUCCAAUAAAGGCAUGGUGGUGUGGUGACAUGCCACUGAUCCCAGCACCAGGGAAGUACUGACAGAACAAUCAGGAGUCUGAGGCAACCUUGGGCUACAAGAGACCCUCCCUAAGACAAUAAUAUAAAUAAAAAUGAAGAACAACCUGUCUUCACAGUUGAGAGAGCUGAUGGAACAAUAUGUGGAAACAUGGCCUGAAUUGGCCCUGUGUGCUCUCAGGUUCUGUCUCCCAGAACAUGUAGCAGUUGGGGAGUUGAAGCCUCUUACUUGAUAGACCAGCCUUGAUUUUCUGCAGCAGGCAGAGCCCCCCCUAGCCACCCAGCAGAGCCAAAGCCUUGGAGACACUUGCUGGGCUUCUGGACAUGAAAGCCUUAGGUAUAUGCUGGAGAUGUCUUUCUGUAUGCUGUAAAUGUGAUUUGGUUGAUAAAUAAAAUGCUGAUUGGCCAGUAGCCAGGCAGGAAGUACAGUAUAGGUGGGACAAAGAAAGAGGAGCAUUCUGGCAACAGGGAAGCUGAGUCAGGAGACGCUGCCAGCCGCCACUAUGAGAAGCAAGAUGUGAGGGCAGAACUGAGAAAAGAUACCAAGCCAUGUGGGUAAACAUAAACAAGAAUUAUGGGUUAAUUUAAGUGUAAGAGCUAGUCAGUAAAAAACUUGAGCUAAUGGCCUUACAUUUCGUAAAUAAUGUAAGCCUCUAUAUGUUUACUUGGGUCCCAGUGGCUGUGGGACUGGCAGGUGAGAGAGAUUUGUCCUGACCUCUGGCAGGCUGGGACACAGGAAAUCUUCAGCUACAGGUAUAAGCUAGGGAUACUCUGGUAGCUUACAUGCAGUCAUAAGCAACUGGACACUUCCUAGAGGGACUUCAUGGGGUCCUGGUUCAAUGGAAUCUUACUGAUCAAUUGAACAGUGUACAGAGAAGUCUUAUUAUCUAUUAGCCUGGCGACAGAUUCUAGGCCAAAGCCCAGGAAUCUGCAUGUCAACAAGACCCUCUGUGGCAGUGGUUAUCAACUUUCGUAAUGCUGUUAACAGUCUUUCAUAGAUGUCAACUGCAGGAGAGAGAAGCUGCCUGCAUGAAUAAAGGAAGCUUAGAGAGCAGGUACAGUUCACAGUCCUUGAAUCCAGAGAAAUCAAAUGACAUGGGAUGAUAGCACUCUUUUCCCAAACAACUGCUAUCAUAUUGUUGUUGGAAAGUUCCCAGGGUCCCUCAUUUCUGUGUGUAUGUGCCUGCUCUUGGCGGUCUUCCUUCUCAUCAUUGGAAUAAACUCAACUAGCCAAAAUUUCCCAUAACUCUCAAGAGCUUGUUUUUCUGGCCAAUUUGUAGAGAGGAGUACCAGGACCAAGACUGGUUGUGUAGAGACCUCUGGAGAAGCUUGGCUGUAGGGUAAAAUGGUCACCCAAAAAAACCUACCCUGGCCCUGAAACCAGAGCCAGUGAAAGAAACACACCCUAGUCUUGAAAGCCAAGCCAGUCAAAGAAUCACUUUAGUACUGACACCAGAACUAAAGAAACACACCCUGUCCCUGAAACCACAGCCAAAGAAACACACUUUGUCCCUGGAAGCAGAGCCAGUCAAAGAAAUACACCCUGGCCCUGAAAUUAGAGCCAAAAUUCUAAAAAGGGUCAGUGAAAGAAACACACUUUGGCCCUGAAACUAGAGCCAACUCUGUCCUUGACCAACUAAUCCAACCAAUCGCUGAGCAGAAAAUCUUCUCCCUGAAAGAACUCCAUCCUUAACCCCCUAUGUCUGUUCAGUUAUCAGCUGUCCUUCACCAUCCUUGCAGAGGCAGCUCUUCUCUUGGAUUCCUCCUUCCCAAAUAAAUCUCUUUAAUGAGAGUUUUGGGUGAAGAUCUUUUGAUUGCUGGGAAGCUCCCUUGGGAGCAGAGCACUACAGAAGAAGAAACAGAUACUUCAGCUGGAAAGCUCCCUUGGCAGGGGGCAGAAUUAACAACUUCUGCCAGAGCCUGGGCAUAUUGCUACAUUUCUGGAGGAGGCGUUCUUGUUUUGCAGAGCUAAGAAGUAACACCUUGGGCCAGAGAUGAGAAGAAAAGGAUACCUCUGCUGGGACAUUCCCAUAGAGGAGCAGAGCAGCAGAAGAAAAGGAUACCUCUGCUGGGAAGCUCUCUUUCACAGGAAGGGGCAGAGCAGAACUCAUCUGUAAUGACUCUCUCUCAGAGGGAAAUAGCAUUGCCACAUCCUAUCUGGAGAUCAUCUUCCACUGCAUUCCAGUUUCAAUUAUACCUUGACUUUCCAACAA